AUUGAACGCUAGCGGGAUGCUUUACACAUGCAAGUCGAACGGCAGCGCGGACUUCGGUCUGGCGGCGAGUGGCGAACGGGUGAGUAAUGUAUCGGAACGUGCCCAGUAGCGGGGGAUAACUACGCGAAAGCGUAGCUAAUACCGCAUACGCCCUACGGGGGAAAGCAGGGGAUCGUAAGACCUUGCACUAUUGGAGCGGCCGAUAUCGGAUUAGCUAGUUGGUGAGGUAACGGCUCACCAAGGCGACGAUCCGUAGCUGGUUUGAGAGGACGACCAGCCACACUGGAACUGAGACACGGCCCAGACUCCUACGGGAGGCAGCAGUGGGGAAUUUUGGACAAUGGGGGCAAGCCUGAUCGAGCCAUCCCGCGUGUGCGAUGAAGGCCUUCGGGUUGUAAAGCACUUUUGGCAGGAAAGAAACGUCGCGGGCUAAUACCCCGUGGAACUGACGGUACCUGCAGAAUAAGCACCGGCUAACUACGUG
rnacentral:rRNA from 1 species